rnacentral:rRNA from 1 species
GUAAGGAAUAUUGGACAAUGGACGCAAGUCUGAUCCAGCCAUGCCGCGUGAAGGAUUAAGGUCCUCUGGAUUGUAAACUUCUUUUAUAAGGGACGAAAAAAGGCUUUUCUAAGUCGUCUGACGGUACCUUAUGAAUAAGCACCGGCUAACUCCGUGCCAGCAGCCGCGGUAAUACGGAGGGUGCAAGCGUUAUCCGGAUUCACUGGGUUUAAAGGGUGCGUAGGCGGGCACGUAAGUCAGUGGUGAAAUCCUAGAGCUUAACUCUAGAACUGCCAUUGAUACUAUCUGUCUUGAAUAUUGUGGAGGUAAGCGGAAUAUGUCAUGUAGCGGUGAAAUGCUUAGAUAUGACAUAGAACACCUAUUGCGAAGGCAGCUUACUACGCAUAUAUUGACGCUGAGGCACGAAAGCGUGGGGAUCAAACAGGAUUAGAAACCCGGGUAGUCC